GGGAGUAGAUGGGUGCUGGUGUGCCCUCUGGUCUUCAAAACCAGUUUGAGGGGUUAGUAGCUUCUUAGGUGGGUUCGAUUCCCACGUAUUCCCGCCA
rnacentral:tRNA from 1 species